CGAAAACAUUUCUAGGGUUCCGUAACUUCAUCGUUAGUCUGGUCCGAGAGAAAUGCGCAACGGUUGCCGUUGUGACACGGAAGGACAAAAGCCUGGGAGAA
rnacentral:sRNA from 2 species